rnacentral:rRNA from 1 species
UACAGAGGGUGCAAGCGUUAAUCGGAAUGACUGGGCGUAAAGGGCGCGUAGGUGGAUUGAUGAGUCAGAUGUGAAAGGCCUAGGCUUAACCUGGGAACUGCAUUUGAUACUGUUAGUCUAGAGUAGAGUAGAGGGGAGUGGAAUUUCCAGUGUAGCGGUGAAAUGCGUAGAUAUUGGAAGGAACACCGGUGGCGAAGGCGGCUCCCUGGGCUCUAACUGACACUGAGGCGCGAAAGCGUGGGGAGCGAACAGG